rnacentral:misc_RNA from 1 species
GUUUCUAACUAUUUAUUAGGACGAGCAGAGGAUCCAUCAACUCAGCUUUGCAGAGAAGCAGCCAAGCAAGAGCCUUUCCGAGUGUGUGGAGCAGCAGCAGCAGCAGCCGUAAGGCUCUUCGGAAAGGUGGCGAUCGUCACGGGCGCCGCCAGCAAACUGGGCGAGGCCAUCGCGAGGAAGUUCGUCGACAACGGCGCCAAGGUCAUCCUCGCCGACAUCAACCGCCACUCCUGCGAGAACAUAGUAGCGGCUCUCAACAAGACCAACCAUGGCCCCGCGGUGGCUCACGCGAUGCGCAUCGACGUCAGCGAACCCGACAGUAUCCUGGCCACCGUCGAGGAGGCGAAGAAGGUCUACAAGCAAGAUGUCGACAUCUUCUACAACAACGCGGGGGUCAGCAACGUCUCCUCCCCGGCCUCCUCCAUCGACAUGAUGAGCUUCAGGAACACCAUGGCGGUCAACGUCGAGUCCGUCAUAGCCAGCAUCAACCACGCCGGCGCCGUGAUGCGCAGCAACAAGAUCGGCGGCGGGUGCAUCCUGUGCACGGGCAGCCCCGUGGGCUCGCUCGGCGACGUGGUGCCCUCGGCGUACAGCAUCUCCAAGGCCGCGGUCGUGGGCGUCGUGCGCGCCGCCGCGGCCGAGCUGGGGGGACACGGCGUGAGGGUCAAUGCCAUCUCGCCGUACGGCGUCGCCGCCAGGUUUGACAAGGGCGUGCUGAGGCACAUCUUCCCUCACGCGACUGACCAGCAGCUGGAUACUAUGAUCAGCAGCUACGGCACCUACACGGUGACCGAGGACGACGUGGCCAACGCGGCGGUGUACCUGGCGUCCGACGCUGGCAAGAACAUCAAUGGCCAAAACAUCGUCCUCAAUGGCAAGUUCGGUCUUUAGAAGUGUGGCCGCCAACGGUUCUGUUGGGGCUCAUUAGCGGCAACUUCACACACCCUGGGCGACUUCCAUUCAUGCCCCGUUGUUUCCUGAAUAAAUAGUGUGGCUGUCAGUGAGCCACGUAACGUGUGUUUCCAUUUCUCUUUUUAUUUGCGAAAUUUCGAUGUUUCAAAGUUUGGCAACAAGAUGUACUUCAAAUCC